UACGCAGGGUGCGAGCGUUGUCCGGAAUUAUUGGGCGUAAAGAGCUUGUAGGUGGCUCGUUGCGUCGGGAGUGAAAACCUGCGGCUUAACCGCAGGCCUGCUUCCGAUACGGGCGAGCUAGAGUUCGGCAGGGGAGACUGGAAUUCCUGGUGUAGCGGUGGAAUGCGCAGAUAUCAGGAGGAACACCGGUGGCGAAGGCGGGUCUCUGGGCCGAUACUGACACUGAGAAGCGAAAGCGUGGGGAGCGAACAGG
rnacentral:rRNA from 1 species